rnacentral:rRNA from 1 species
AGUGAACGCUGGCGGUAGGCCUAACACAUGCAAGUCGAACGGCAGCACAGUAAGAGCUUGCUCUUACGGGUGGCGAGUGGCGGACGGGUGAGGAAUACAUCGGAAUCUACUUUUUCGUGGGGGAUAACGUAGGGAAACUUACGCUAAUACCGCAUACGACCUACGGGUGAAUGCAGGGGAUCUUCGGACCUUGCGCGAUUGAAUGAGCCGAUGUCGGAUUAGCUAGUUGGCGGGGUAAAGGCCCACCAAGGCGACGAUCCGUAGCUGGUCUGAGAGGAUGGACAGGCACACUGGAACUUAGGAAACGUCCAGGCUCCUAAGGGAGGCCGGAGUGGGGAAUAUUGGAAAAUGGGGCGAAGGCCGAUCCAGCCAUACCGCGUGGGUGAAGAAGGCCUUCGGGUUGUAAAGCCCUUUUGUUGGGAAAGAAAAGCAGCAGGUUAAUACCCCGCUGUUCUGACGGUACCCAAAGAAUAAGCACCGGCUAACUUCGUG